rnacentral:rRNA from 1 species
AUGACUACCUGCUUCUCAGAUCUUAUUAAAGAUCAUUCCCUUGAUUUUAUAGGUCUUCAAGAGACCAUGAAAAAGAAAUUCCCCUUAAAGUUCCUUAGGAAGAUAGAUCCAUUCAAUAAUUUUGAAUGGAUUUGGGUUCCUUCUACGGGUAGGUCAGGGGGCAUCCUUUCUGGAGUGAAGAAAGAAACCCUUGAGAUCAUAUCCUAGGAGGCUGGUAGGUUCCUGUUGCAAGCCAAUGUUUAUGAUGUGAAGCGUAAAUGUGUCUGAGCGCUCAUAGUGGUCUAUGGGGCAGCUCAAGAUGACAAGAAAGAUGAUUUCUUAGCUGAAUUGGUGUCGGUGUGCUCUCAAAUCCAUGUCCCCUAUAUAGUGGGCGGUGACUAUAAUAUCCUGCAAAAUAGUGAUGAGAAAAAUGAAUAUGGUCACUCCCGCUUUGUAGAUAUGUUCAAUUUGGCCAUCCAGACUCUGAAUUUGAGAGAAAUCCAUAUGGGAGGGGGGAAAUACACCUGGACCAAUAAACAAAAACACCCCACAUUGGAAAAGCUGGACCGGAUUCUUAUGAGUUUCGAAUGGGAAGAUUUGUUUCCUCUAGUUACAAUGAGAAAAUUGGUUAGAGACGUAUCAGACCAUAACCCCUUAGUGCUGGCAACAGUUUAG